GAUGCGAAGGCUGGGAGCAGCAUGACACAAAGGGGAAACUGAGUCACAUCCCAAGGCAAAUGGGAGGAGGCUCAGGACGGGGCUGCACUGCAGCACCCCGAAGGGCAACAGAGGCCAGGGUGACUGGGCAGGCUGUCUGUCUGUCUGUCCGUCUGUCUGUCUGUCCCGCCGCUGACCUUGCCGGGACGAGGAGAAGCCACAGGAUGGCUUCCAGGAACCUGCAAUCCCAGCGGGCCCCUCCCACAGCUGCAAAAAAAAGGGAGACGGGGCGAAAGGAGCGACAUAAAAUUAAUUUACUAUCGCAAAGGAUAAAGGAUGGAGCAAAACCCGCCACCAGCUGGGGCCAGAAAAUGGAGUAAAAUGAACCUGACCUCCGUUUUUCCCUUCUUUCUAAGGAAAAGUACUGGUGAGGAAGGAAAGCUGCCGGCCCGAUUAUUUCAUGAGCCGGCCGUCCCAGCCCUGUGCAGACUGGCAGGAAUCUGGCAGCGUUUCAGCGCCGCGCUCCUGGGCGAUUCCCCUAAUGCCAUUCCUAAAAUGACAGCGGUGAAGGCAGCGUGCUCGCUCCGAAGGAGGGCAGGAUCCCGGCAAAGGAGGCUGCGCUGAAUCAGCUCUUUGCCCACGGCGGGUCACGGCGACGGCACCGGUGCCACUUUAUCCUGGGGAAACUGAGGCACGGAUGGGGACGGCCGCAGGGAGCCCGGGUGGCAUGUGGUGGCCACGGAUAAUCUGGGAGCCGGCACUAAUCCUGCCCCAUGAUUCACCCGCAUAGUUUCCACCAUCUCGUUCACCGUGCACGCCACGCGUCCUGUCCCAAAAGGAAACCCCGGCCGGGGGAAUGCCAACGGAGACCAUUUGUUCACCUCGGAAAGCUUCAGCUCGCCGGCACCCAACCCAACUCUCCCGGGGCUGGAAAUAGAAAACCAGUCUGAUAGCUCGGCUUUCUGGGCAGCCCACACCAAGCCCUGGCCGUGCCAGUGGAAAUCCAUCCAUCUGUCCUGCCGAUGCUCAUAUCCAAAUUCCCACCUGCUGGCACCGAAAAGCUCUGGCUGUGGGUGGUCCCCAAGGGGGCUGGGGCUGCUCGUGGACGGUGCUGUGCAGCCAAACGGGGCUGAGCUCUUUGUUUUGGGGUGGCACGGUAAAUUGGAGGAGAUUUUGCCGCCA